CUCCCCUUGGUGCAGUUGGUUUAGCACGUUCGACUGUAAUAGCAUUGUCAUCGAAAGGUCCCUCGUUCGAUCCGAGGAGGGGAGA